rnacentral:lncRNA from 1 species
AUAAAAAAGUAAGUUUCCUCAUUUCAAGCAGAUUUUAAAAUUACAUUUCCAAGAAUAAUCUUGGAACAAGACAAGUUUUCGUUCAAUUAAUUGUGGCUGGAAACUUUUUAAUGGAAACAUAGCACAUACUUACUUCAUUCCAGGUUAUUAAAUUGUGUUAAGCAUUAGAGUUAUUUGCCAUUCUUUGCUGCAGCUCAUUUGUUCUUUUCGAUUCUAAGAAAUAUUAGAAGGUUAAAUAACUUAUCACAUACGAGGGAUUAAUCAUACUGCCAAAAUUAGAAUGUGUGUAGUUCUGAGGGACUGAAUGUCAAAAUUGUAUGCUCAUGUCACUAAAACUAUUGGGGAUCUAGGAAACCACAAGAGCAUUUAAAAUGGCAGCUAAGGUCUGUGGAAACCCUUCAUGUUUAGAAACUGGCUAAAGCUUGAUUUCUCUUAUCUUUUGGUUAAGGGCACCACUUUCAGAUAAAAACAUAGACCUGAAUGGCAUCAUCCAGUAUCCAAGGAAACCAUGAUAUUGAACUCUAGACACUCUGAGAAAUAUUUUUUUAAAUGGAAGACAUUCAUCCUUAAACUCCAUUUGUUGGACCUGGG